rnacentral:misc_RNA from 1 species
GAUGAAGAACGUAGCGAAAUGCGAUAAGUAAUGUGAAUUGCAGAAUUCAGUGAAUCAUCGAAUCUUUGAACGCACAUUGCGCCCCUUGGUAUUCCGAGGGGCAUGCCUGUUCGAGCGUCAUUUCAACCCUCAAGCACAGCUUGGUCUUGGGCUUCGCCGCUAACCCGGCGGGUCUUAAAAUCAGUGGCGGUGCCGUCGGGCCCUGAGCGCAGUAAUCUCUCUCGCUGUAGGGUCCCGGCGGAUGCUGGCCAGUAACCCCCAAUUUUCUAUGGUUGACCUCGGAUCAGGUAGGGAUACCCGCUGAACUUAAGCAUAUCAAUAAGCGGAGGA